GAGGAAUAUUGGUCAAUGGGCGCAAGCCUGAACCAGCCAAGCCGCGUGCAGGAUGAAGGCCCUAUGGGUUGUAAACUGCUUUUAUACGGGAAGAACCCCCCGACGUGUCGGGGACUGACGGUACCGUAGGAAUAAGCAUCGGCUAACUCCGUGCCAGCAGCCGCGGUAAUACGGAGGAUGCGAGCGUUAUCCGGAUUUAUUAGGUAUAAAGGGUGCGUAGGCGGACCUGUAAGUCAGCGGUGAAAUACUACGGCUUAACCGUAGAACUGCCGUUGAUACUGCGGGUCUUGAGUACAGUUGAGGUAGGCGGAAUGUGUGGUGUAGCGGUGAAAUGCUUAGAUAUCACACAGAACACCGAUUGCGAAGGCAGCUUACUAAGUUGUAACUGACGCUGAUGCACGAAAGCAUGGGGAGCAAAC
rnacentral:rRNA from 1 species